UUGUCUCAGGCUUCCAAAAUGCUAGGAUUACAGGAUCCCAGAAUUGUGGAGCUAGAAACACCUGAGAUCAUCGACUCCAAGCUUUUCAUGAUAAUAGAAGAAAAACAGUGGAGACUUGGAGAUUAAACUUCAUCUCCAGCAAUGGCGAAGCUGGGAACUGAAAUGAGGCUAACGUCAGGCUUCCUAUGAGAUUGUAACCAGGAAAGGGUCCUGUCCCUGGAGAUGCUGCAGAAAUGGGAGGGAGGUUGAUCUCUGGAGGUUCCUCCAGAAGAGGAACAGAUAUUAUGGAUGGGGACUAGUGUGGGAUACGAUGAGGUUUCUCUUCAAAAAAUCUGAUCAAUCUUUUAUUCUUUAAUUUAUAG
rnacentral:lncRNA from 10 species